rnacentral:rRNA from 1 species
CGCGAACGUUGGCGGCGUGCCUAACACAUGCAAGUCGUGGGGCAGCAGGCUACUACCUUCGGGUAGUAGUGCUGGCGACCGGCAAACGGGUGAGUAACACGUAGCUUACCUACCCAUAGGUUGGGGAUAACAUCCCGAAAGGGGUGCUAAUACCCAAUAAUGAGGAGACUCCAAAGCCCUUUUGGGCGCCUAUGGAUGGGGCUGCGUCCCAUCAGCUAGUUGGUGAGGUAAUGGCUCACCAAGGCUACGACGGGUAACCGGUCUGAGAGGAUGACCGGUCACAGUGGGACUGAGACACGGCCCGCACCCCUACGGGGGGCAGCAGUGGGGAAUAUUGGGCAAUGGCCGAAAGGCUGACCCAGCAACGCCGCGUGGUGGAUGAAGCCCUUCGGGGUGUAAACACCUUUUCUGGGGGAAGAUAAUGACGGUACCCCAGGAAUAAGGGACGGCUAACUACGUGCCAGCAGCCGCGGUAAUACGUAG